rnacentral:rRNA from 1 species
CUACGGGGGGCAGCAGUGGGGAAUAUUGCACAAUGGAGGAAACUCUGAUGCAGCAACGCCGCGUGGAGGAUGACACUUUUCGGAGCGUAAACUCCUUUUAUAUAGGAAGAAGAUGACGGUACUAUAUGAAUAAGCGCCGGCUAACUCCGUGGCCAGCAGCCGCGGUAAUACGGAGGGCGCAAGCGUUACUCGGAAUCACUGGGCGUAAAGAGCGUGUAGGCGGAUUAAAAAGUCAGAAGUGAAAUCCUAUAGCUUAACUAUAGAACUGCUUCUGAAACUCUUAAUCUAGAAUAUGGGAGAGGUAAAUGGAAUUUCUGGUGUAGGGGUAAAAUCCGUAGAGAUCAGAAGGAAUACCGAUUGCGAAGGCGAUCUACUAGAACAUUAUUGACGCUGAGACGCGAAAGCGUGGGGAGCAAACAGGAUUAGAUACCCCAGUAGUC